rnacentral:rRNA from 1 species
GUGGGGAAUAUUGGACAAUGGGGGGAACCCUGAUCCAGCCAUGCCGCGUGUGUGAAGAAGGCCUUUUGGUUGUAAAGCACUUUAAGCGAGGAGGAGGCUACCGAGAUUAAUACUCUUGGAUAGUGGACGUUACUCGCAGAAUAAGCACCGGCUAACUCUGUGCCAGCAGCCGCGGUAAUACAGAGGGUGCAAGCGUUAAUCGGAUUUACUGGGCGUAAAGCGCGCGUAGGUGGCCAAUUAAGUCAAAUGUGAAAUCCCCGAGCUUAACUUGGGAAUUGCAUUCGAUACUGGUUGGCUAGAGUAUGGGAGAGGAUGGUAGAAUUCCAGGUGUAGCGGUGAAAUGCGUAGAGAUCUGGAGGAAUACCGAUGGCGAAGGCAGCCAUCUGGCCUAAUACUGACACUGAGGUGCGAAAGCAUGGGGAGCAAACAGGAUUAGAAACCCGUGCAGUCC